AGGAUAAACGCUGGCGGCGUGCCUAAUGCAUGCAAGUCGAACGAGGUACUCUUUCGGGGGUAUCGAGUGGCGGACGGGUGAGGAACACGUACGAGACCUGCCCUUGGAUGGGGAAUAACCCUUCGAAAGAGGGGCUAAUGCCGCAUACGGUCCCAGGCAGCAAGGUUUGGGAGGAAAGCUCGCAAGAGUGUCCGAGGAGGGGCGUGCGGCCGAUUAGCUAGUUGGUGGGGUAAAGGCCUACCAAGGCGACGAUCGGUAGCUGGU
rnacentral:rRNA from 1 species